rnacentral:rRNA from 1 species
AUGUCCAGGCCUGGACGAUGUGAAGGCAUCGUCCAUAGCUCAACCGCAGCCACUUUUUCUCCCUCCCGCCAACUCCGUCGCCCUUUCUCCCGCCAAGUCGCUUGCUCUGGAGACAAAGAGGACGCCGCCGCGAGGUCGUCGUCGCGCCACACCACAACAUCCCGAGGCGAGAUGGAAGGAGACGAGCGUUUUCUCGACAUGUUGAACUUCGGUGUAUCACCACAAGUGCCAGAUAGUCCAGUUGGGGAGCAAGAGAUGCCACCAACUCAAGAAGUGUCUGCAUCUGCCAAAGCAAAAUCCACUAAAGGAAAGAAUUGGUCUAGUCAAGAGGAUGAAUUGUUGGUGGCAGCAUGGUUGCACACCAGUCUGGAUGCUGUGAUAGGGACAGAUCAAUCAUCAAAUUCUUAUUGGGGUAGGAUUUAUGAUUACUACAGCACGCGCAAGAAAGUGUCAUGGCCGGUGCGUGUUCAAAAUGCAAUCACUUGUCGUUGGAGCACUAUUAAUGAACAAGUCAGCAAGUUUUGUGGAUACUAUCAGCAAAUUCUUAAUAGAAACCAAAGUGGGGUAACUAUCGCUCAGCAGCAAGCCCAGGCACUUGUUUUAUACAAGUCCAAAGAUCCUAAAAACAGGCCAUUUGCAUUAAUGCAUUGCUGGUUAGAGUUGCAAAAGCAUCCGAAGUGGGAGAAUCGUGUGGUUUCGAAGGGGCCUCCGAAAAAGCAGAAGAAGACCUCGGAUGCAAGUCCAGGUACAACUUCUAAUGAUGAAGACUUCGGAUCCACUGAUGCUCUUGAUACAGAGAUAAGGCCUGAUGGUAAUAAGCGAGAUAAAGAACGUUUACGGAAAGUUAAAGCUUCUGCUUCCGAUGCUCUUGCUCCCAAGUUAUCAUUAGAAACUGUGUGGGCACAAAAGCUAGAGAAGGCCGAGGCGAAAGAGGCCGCGAAGAAUGCUCGUUAUGAGCGAGCAUUUGAAUUGCAGGAGAAGCAAAUUGCAUUGCAGGAGAGGCAGAUGGCAAACCAGGAGAGGGAGAGACAGAUGGCAAACCAAGAGAGGGAGAGGCAAAUGACAAUCAAGGAGAGGGAGAUGGCACAGAAACAGUUUGAGUUAGAAGAGAAGAUCAUGUCCAUGGACACUAGUACUAUGAGUGGGGCACAACAACAAUUCUACAUCAACAAGCAGAAUGAGAUUGCCGCUCGCCGAUAG